rnacentral:rRNA from 1 species
UACGUAGGGGGCAAGCGUUGUUCGGAUUUACUGGGCGUAAAGGGCGCGUAGGCGGCCUCCGCAAGUCGACUGUGAAAUCUCCGGGCUUAACCCGGAAAGGUCAGCCGAAACUGCGGGGCUAGAGUGCAGAAGGGGCAACUGGAAUUCUCGGUGUAGCGGUGAAAUGCGUAGAUAUCGAGAGGAACACCUGCGGCGAAGGCGGGUUGCUGGGCUGACACUGACGCUGAAGCGCGAAAGCUAGGGGAGCGAACGGG